GGUCUCCCCUUAAAAGAGGGGAACUGGCUCCUCCCAAGGCUCCUUUGCCCCUUCUCUGAGCUAUCCACACCCCCCUUGUUGCCUGGUGAGGAGCAGCAGGGGAUUCUAAACAAAGACAUCAGGGAACUGGAACAAGAAUGGAUCAUAACCAUCCCAGCGCCUGCCAAGUGGGCUCCCGCAAACACUCCCUGGCUCAGGCCCAGCGCGGGGCCUUCUGGUGAGAACCCCUUCCUGGGAGUGCAGCCUUCUGGG
rnacentral:lncRNA from 1 species